rnacentral:ncRNA from 1 species
AGCGUUCAUAGCGACGUUGCUUUUUGAUCUUCGAUGUCGGCUCUUCCUAUCAUUGAGACGCAGAAGUCUCAAAGUGUCGGAUUGUUCACCCGCCAAUAGGGAACGUGAGCUGGGUUUAGACCGUCGUGAGACAGGUUAGUUUUACCCUACUGACAAAGUAGAUACUGCGACAGUAGUCGAAGUUAGUACGAGAGGAACACUUCGUCCAGAUACUUGGUUAAUGCCGUUGUCUGAAAAGACAGUACGGCGAAGCUACCAUCUGCUGGAUUACGGCUGAACGCCUCUAAGCCGGAAUCCAUGCUGGAUAAGCAGUGUUGUACACCGUGCUCAAUGCUACAAGAAAAAGGCUAGGUCAGGCUUCGGCCUGACCAAAAUUCAAGCUGCUAUACCUCUGGCUGCAUUGACUUGUGGUCAGAGUGUAUGGUGAUCAUAGCAAUUGCAAGUAUUGGGCUCGAUAAAUCCUUUGAAGACGACUUAAUUGCAUCCGGGUAUUGUAAGUGUUGAGAGUAGGCUUAGUCUUACGAUCCACUGAGAUUCAUCCCGUGUUGCGCCGAUUUGU